GCGCGGGCCGGCAGGUGCAGGAGAUGCCCUGCGGGAUGAGGUGUAACGCUUUUGACAGGGACGAAGGCAAGUGACUGUACGUAGAAUAAGGACCGGCCAACUACGUGCCAGCAGCCGGGUAAUACGUAGGGUCCGAGCGUUGUCCGGAAUUACUGGGCGUAAAGAGCUGUAGGCGGUUCGUCGCGUCGUUUGUGAAAACUUGGGGCUCAACCUUAAGCUUGCGGCGAUACGGGCGGACUAGAGUACUUCAGGGGAGACUGGAAUUCCUGGUGUAGCGGUGAAAUGCGCAGAUAUCAGGAGGAACACCGGUGGCGAAGGCGGGUCUCUGGGAAGUAACUGACGCUGAGAAGCGAAAGCAUGGGUAGCAAACAGGAUUAGAUACCCUGGUAGUCCAUGCCGUAAACGGUGGGUACUAGGUGUGGGGCUCCUUCCACGGACUCCGUGCCGUAGCUAACGCAUUAAGUACCCCGCCUGGGGAGUACGGCCGCAAGGCUAAAACUCAAAGAAAUUGACGGGGGCCCGCACAAGCGGCGGAGCAUGUGGAUUAAUUCGAUGCAACGCGAAGAACCUUACCUGGGUUUGACAUACACCGGAAACCUGCAGAGAUGUAGGCCCCCUUGUGGUCGGUGUACAGGUGGUGCAUGGCUGUCGUCAGCUCGUGUCGUGAGAUGUUGGGUUAAGUCCCGCAACGAGCGCAACCCUUAUCUUAUGUUGCCAGCGCGUAAUGGCGGGGACUCGUGAGAGACUGCCGGGGUCAACUCGGAGGAAGGUGGGGACGACGUCAAGUCAUCAUGCCCCUUAUGUCCAGGGCUUCACACAUGCUACAAUGGCCGGUACAGAGGGCUGCGAUACCGCGAGGUGGAGCGAAUCCCUUAAAGCCGGUCUCAGUUCGGAUCGGGGUCUGCAACUCGACCCCGUGAAGUUGGAGUCGCUAGUAAUCGCAGAUCAGCAACGCUGCGGUGAAUACGUUCCCGG
rnacentral:rRNA from 1 species